rnacentral:rRNA from 1 species
UGCCAGCAGCCGCGGUAAAACGUAGGUGGCAAGCGUUAUCCGGAUUUACUGGGUGUAAAGCGUGUGCAGGCGGUCGUGUAAGUAGCGCGUGAAAGCGCCCGGCUUAACCGGGCGAGGACGUGCUGUACUGCGCGACUGGAGAUGAGUAGAGGCGAGUGGAAUUCCGGGUGUAGUGGUGAAAUGCGUAGAUAUCCGGAGGAACACCUGAGGCGAAGGCGACUCGCUGGGCUCGUUCUGACGCUCAGACACGACAGCAUGGGGAGCGAACGGGAUUAGAAACCCCGGUAGUCCAUGCCGUAAACGAUGCAGACUAGGUAUCGCGGGGGUGAAACCCGGCGGCGCCGCAGCUAACGCGCUAAGUCUGCCACCUGGGGACUACGGCCGCAAGGUUAAAACUUAAAGGAAUUGGCGGGGGA